AGGGCCAUUAAGAGCAGCACGGCCCUGCUGAGAUUUGCAGUCACCCUCCCCGAGUUUGACAUCUCAGCAGAGUUCCCUAGGCUGGGUCAGCACGUGGCCCAGCUGGCUCUGUUUGUGAGUUACCCAGACCAGGACAUCAGCCGGCAGGCCAGGGAGGGGACUUACCGGCUGUACCAGCUGCUGCUCGAACAGAGGGGGCUGAGCAUACACGAGGUGGAGGAUCUGUGGUGCCACAACUGGUACCAGGACAGCAGGCUCCUGGGCUAUCAAAACACAGCCAGGGUGGGGAGGUAAGGACACUGUGGCAGGGUAGGACACAGCUCAGGAGUGGGGCUGGCUGGGGUCCCUGCAGUGGAUGCCUCCUGGAGACAGGACAAGAGCCCACUCCUUAUUUCCAGCUCAGAGUUCCUCACCCAGCACCCAGUGGGACAGGCUGGUGCUAAAGGUCCCACAUUGGAACCUCGCUAGUUGCUGUGAUUUGAGUGUCUUCCAUGGAGCCGUUGCUACGUGGCAUAAGGCGAAUCCCCGGGUGGGUGAGUUAAUAGAGGAUUAUGGCUCUGGGUGUCUCUCUGCUCCUUGUCCCCUUGGCUGAUCCCCAAGUGUCUGAGAGAAGAGCACUGGGUCCGUCAGUCACUAGUGCUUGAGCAGACCCUUGUUUACUUCCCUGCACCCUGUAGAAGCAGAGAAAGGAGGUGGGGUUUGCCCAAGUCCAUUGCCAGUCAGGAAGCAGAAUGCCCCAAGCCGAGAACUGGGGAGGGGACACAGUGAGCUCCAGAGCCAAUAUGCACCACAUGCGCCUCCUCAUGUCUCCAGUCCCGGCCAGGGAAUGGCAGAGUAUCUGGACCUCAGCCACUGUGCCAAAGAAGCACAUUGUCACUGACCCAAGUUGCGACUACUUGCUGCACAAGUAGAAAAUCAAAGACCUCCCGGCCCCCUGUCUCACAACUGUGCUGAGAACAUCCAAACCUUGGAACACACCAUAACCCAGUGCCCCCAGAUUGGAGUCAAAGGUGAAAUGUGUGAUUUUGAUAACAUCACAGAGGAGGCCUUGGAAUGGCUCCUGGAUCUCCAAGUGCAUCUACAGAAUGCUGCCCUAUAGAUGCCACGUGAGAGAGACUCUGUGAGCUUGUCCUGCCUCCCACAAGCUGAAUUGCUGCAGCAGAAGAAAAGUUUCCUAGGAGUGUCUGUGAUGGGGACUGGGACAUGAGUCUCCUUAUCCUGGUCAGGUUGCAGAUUGGAUUCCCUUUGGCAGAAACCAAGGAGCUGCCGAGGCCAUAGCCAGCUACUAGAGAAAUCACUAAUUUGGGGGCAAUAGACCUUUGGUCUGUCAGCUCCAACCCCUUUCCCCCCCCCCACGCACACUCCUCUAGCCACUGAGGUGCAGGAGAUCUCUCUGCUGGAAGCAAUACAGGGUCCCCUAUCAUCUCGGUGCGCUGCACAGCAGAGUGGGCCCUGCUCACCCACAUUAGAGAUCUAUUUCCAGCCCAUCAUGGCCCCUGCGAUCAAUUGCCCUCCAGAAAGAGCCACUGGAGGCUUUGGUCCCUAAGCAUCUGCCACCUUUUCAUAAAGGGGCUUCCCUGAGCCAUGGGACCCUGAAAGCCUCCUGGGGAAUGAACGGCCUUGGCUACAGCAGCUCUCUUACCCUUCCUUUGGGGCACCGGACACUGAGGCCAUUCUAUCUCCAGGGCUUGGAGGCUGGCUCUGGGCAAUCUGCUACAGCCUCCUGUCCUGUUGGUUUUAGGUCUUUGGAAAAUUCUUCUCUGCGGGGCAGAGGAAAUGCUUCCUCAAGACAGCCGUGCCAGCGAUCUACAACCCCCUGCUGUGCAUUAGCCAGGCUGGGCUUCUCCUCACGUACGCCAUCCUGGGGGAAGUCGAGCAACUGCUGGGUUACACGCUGGAGGACACCACCGC